GCCUGAUUGGCUUAUCUGUAGAGCAUGCAACUCUUGAUCUCAGGAUUGUAAGUUCAAGUCCCACAUUAGGUA
rnacentral:tRNA from 1 species